rnacentral:rRNA from 1 species
ACGGGGAACCUCCUGGUAUUGAUUGGUGCUUGCAUCAUGAUUUACAUUUGAGUGAGUGGCGAACUGGUGAGUAACACGUGGGAAACCUGCCCAGAAGCGGGGGAUAACACCUGGAAACAGAUGCUAAUACCGCAUAACAACUUGGACCGCAUGGUCCGAGCUUGAAAGAUGGCUUCGGCUAUCACUUUUGGAUGGUCCCGCGGCGUAUUAGCUAGAUGGUGGGGUAACGGCUCACCAUGGCAAUGAUACGUAGCCGACCUGAGAGGGUAAUCGGCCACAUUGGGACUGAGACACGGCCCAAACUCCUACGGGAGGCAGCAGUAGGGAAUCUUCCACAAUGGACGAAAGUCUGAUGGAGCAACGCCGCGUGAGUGAAGAAGGGUUUCGGCUCGUAAAACUCUGUUGUUAAAGAAGAACAUAUCUGAGAGUAACUGUUCAGGUAUUGACGGUAUUUAACCAGAAAGCCACGGCUAACUACGUGCCAGCAGCCGCGGUAAUACGUAGGUGGCAAGCGUUGUCCGGAUUUAUUGGGCGUAAAGCGAGCGCAGGCGGUUUUUUAAGUCUGAUGUGAAAGCCUUCGGCUCAACCGAAGAAGUGCAUCGGAAACUGGGAAACUUGAGUGCAGAAGAGGACAGUGGAACUCCAUGUGUAGCGGUGAAAUGCGUAGAUAUAUGGAAGAACACCAGUGGCGAAGGCGGCUGUCUGGUCUGUAACUGACGCUGAGGCUCGAAAGUAUGGGUAGCAAACAGGAUUAGAUACCCUGGUAGUCCAUACCGUAAACGAUGAAUGCUAAGUGUUGGAGGGUUUCCGCCCUUCAGUGCUGCAGCUAACGCAUUAAGCAUUCCGCCUGGGGAGUACGGCCGCAAGGCUGAAACUCAAAGGAAUUGACGGGGGCCCGCACAAGCGGUGGAGCAUGUGGUUUAAUUCGAAGCUACGCGAAGAACCUUACCAGGUCUUGACAUACUAUGCAAAUCUAAGAGAUUAGACGUUCCCUUCGGGGACAUGGAUACAGGUGGUGCAUGGUUGUCGUCAGCUCGUGUCGUGAGAUGUUGGGUUAAGUCCCGCAACGAGCGCAACCCUUAUUAUCAGUUGCCAGCAUUAAGUUGGGCACUCUGGUGAGACUGCCGGUGACAAACCGGAGGAAGGUGGGGAUGACGUCAAAUCAUCAUGCCCCUUAUGACCUGGGCUACACACGUGCUACAAUGGAUGGUACAACGAGUUGCGAACUCGCGAGAGUAAGCUAAUCUCUUAAAGCCAUUCUCAGUUCGGAUUGUAGGCUGCAACUCGCCUACAUGAAGUCGGAAUCGCUAGUAAUCGCGGAUCAGCAUGCCGCGGUGAAUACGUUCCCGGGCCUUGUACACACCGCCCGUCACACCAUGAGAGUUUGUAACACCCAAAAGU